rnacentral:lncRNA from 1 species
AAUUCUAUAGCUUUCAGUUCUCCAGUUAAAUUCUCCACCUUUUCUUCUAUUUUUCAGGCAUAUUAACCAUACUGAUAUUGAAGUUUUGUAUCCAAAAAUUACAGUAACUGAAUCUAUUGUAGGUGUUUUACUAUUGCCUUUUUUCUUUUAAUUUUCUUAUUUUUUCCUUCUUUUUUGGUCAUUUUGUCCUAUUUUCUGCCAUGGCAUUUUGUAUGCUGGACUUUGUUAAUUUAUGUAUAGAUAUAAGUGAAUUAUAUUAUAUUCCCCUGAAGAUAAUUUAAUGAAAUUCUGGCAAUCUGCUAGAGUAUAGCCAGAUCAUCUUCAUAUAAUCCAGUCUAGAGUUCAGGUUUUAUGAGUCCUGUUCUAGUUCUACUUUGCUUUUUACUUUUAAACAUGGCCCUUAUUCUCUAUGGUAUUACUCUAAUUGCUGCCUUUUUUUAAUUAAUUAAUUUAUGUUUUUAUUCUAUGGUUUUACUCUAAUUGUUAAGGGUGGCUCUUUGAGGUCUUUGACUGAGGUAUUUUCCUAAGCGCCUCCUUUUUUGUAGUAUGGUACCUCUAAAAUUGCUUCCCCAGCACUGUGAAAUGGAUGAAUCCUCUGCCUUACUUCUCAGAGCCUCACCCCGAGCCUGUGCACCUUAGAAGUCGGCAAAUGCUCCAGGGAAAGCUGCAUACAGUAUUUGAUGCCUAUUCCUUGGUGAAAGAGACCUCCUUUUGCUUAAGGAAAGACCAAGAUUAUGUAAAGGUAAGUAUUGUCUGAGAAAUUUUAUAAGUCAUAUCAAUAAAUGUGCUUUCAGUCCAGAGUCAUGGUUUUACAACUCAUAUGCAGCCAGACACAGAAAAAUGAUAAAGAUUCAGCUUGUUAGGUGACAUAAUUGUGAAAUCUCUAUCACCCUAGAAAUUAAUUGAGAUUAGAAAGCACAGAGAUUAGCAAUAAGGAGUUAUGUCUCAGGCAUAUGUGUUUGAAUUUUGUUAGCUUUUCUCAAAAAUAAUAUGAAAGAAAAAUAAUUCCCCAGUAUAGAAAAAAGUACAGCAGAAAAGUCGCAAAAAAUUAUUCUGACCUAUUUAUUUCUCGAUUUUACUACAGAAAUCAACCGCUAAAGCACAUGUACACUGGUGCUGUUAGUCAACUUAUACUACUAUUGUUUGUGGAGAUUAUGUCCCAAAUUCAACCAAAGUUGUACACAUAAUGGAAAAGUUUGAAUUACAUGAAGGGAAAGAAGUUGACAGAAAAAGAGGGAGAUUUUUAAU